AAUAAGUACAGUUUUGCACUAUUCACAUUCAACGUUUGAUCGUUUGUCUUAUUUAAAUUUUUUUAUGAUUAGUAUUUUUAUUUCCAUUAGAUGAUAAAACAUGAAUAAUACUUUAUGUGUAACUAAAUAUUUUUAAAUUUUUCAAAUAAGACGGACGGUCAAACGUUGGGCACGGAUAUCCACGGCUGCACUUAUU
rnacentral:pre_miRNA from 1 species